rnacentral:rRNA from 1 species
UACAGAGGGUGCGAGCGUUAAUCGGAAUUACUGGGCGUAAAGGGCGCGUAGGUGGUUGUAUAAGAUUGUUGUGAAAUCCCUGGGCUUAACCUAGGAACUGCAACGAUGACUGUAUAGCUUGAGUAUUGUAGAGGGUAGUGGAAUUUCCGGUGUAGCGGUGAAAUGCGUAGAGAUCGGAAGGAACACCAGUGGCGAAGGCGGCUACCUGGACAAAUACUGACACUGAGGCGCGAGAGCGUGGGGAGCAAACAGGAUUAGAUACCCUGGUAGUCCACGCUGUAAACGAUGAAGACUAGAUGUUGGGCAGCUUGACUGCUUAGUAUCGAAGCAAACGCGAUAAGUCUUCCGCCUGGGGAGUACGGCCGCAAGGUUAAA